rnacentral:rRNA from 1 species
UUGGAGGGCAAGUCUGGUGCCAGCAGCCGCGGUAAUUCCAGCUCCAAUAGCGUAUAUUAAAGUUGUUGCAGUUAAAAAGCUCGUAGUUGAAUUUCGGGGUCGGUAGAUUGGUCAUGCCUCUGGUAUGCACCGGUCUUACUGGCUCCUCCUUCCUGAUGAACCGUAAUGCCAUUAAUUUGGUGUUGCGGGGAGACUGGACUGUUACUUUGAAAAAAUUAGAGUGUUUAAAGCAGGCUAACGCUUGAAUACAUUAGCAUGGAAUAAUGAAAUAGGACGUUCGAUCUUAUUUUGUUGGUUUCUAAGAUUGACGUAAUGAUUAAUAGGGAUAGUUGGGGGCAUUAGUAUUCAAUUGUCAGAGGUGAAAUUCUUGGAUUUAUUGAAGACUAACUACUGCGAAAGCAUUUGCCAAGGAUGUUUUCAUUAAUCAAGAACGAAAGUUAGGGGAUCGAAGACGAUCAGAUACCGUCGUAGUCUUAACCAUAAACUAUGCCGACUAGGGAUCGGAUGAUGUUAAUUUUUUAAUGACUCAUUCGGCGCCUUACGGGAAACCAAAGUGUUUGGGUUC